ACGGCCCACCAAGGCGACGAUCAGUAGCCGGACUGAGAGGUUGAACGGCCACAUUGGGACUGAGACACGGUCCAAACUCCUACGGGAGGCAGCAGUGAGGAAUAUUGGUCAAUGGGCGUUAGCCUGAACCAGCCAAGUAGCGUGAAGGAUGAAGGCUCUAUGGGUCGUAAACUUCUUUUAUAUAAGAAUAAAGUGCAGUAUGUAUACUGUUUUGUAUGUAUUAUAUGAAUAAGGAUCGGCUAACUCCGUGCCAGCAGCCGCGGUAAUACGGAGGAUCCGAGCGUUAUCCGGAUUUAUUGGGUUUAAAGGGAGCGUAGGUGGACUGGUAAGUCAGUUGUGAAAGUUUGCGGCUCAACCGUAAAAUUGCAGUUGAUACUGUCAGUCUUGAGUACAGUAGAGGUGGGCGGAAUUCGUGGUGUAGCGGUGAAAUGCUUAGAUAUCACGAAGAACUCCGAUUGCGAAGGCAGCUCACUGGACUGCAACUGACACUGAUGCUCGAAAGUGUGGGUAUCAAACCAGG
rnacentral:rRNA from 1 species